UACGUAGGGGGCAAGCGUUGUCCGGAAUCAUUGGGCGUAAAGAGCGUGUAGGCGGCCUGAUAAGUCGGCUGUGAAAGUCAAGGGCUCAACCCUUGAAUGCCGGCCGAUACUGUCAGGCUAGAGUCCGGAAGAGGCGAGUGGAAUCCUGGUGUAGCGGUGAAAUGCGCAGAUAUCAGGAGGAACACCGAUGGCGAAGGCAGCUCGCUGGGACGGUACUGACGCUGAGACGCGAAAGCGUGGGGAGCGAACAGG
rnacentral:rRNA from 1 species